GACCGUGUAGCUCAGUUGGCAAGAGCGGAGGAAUCGCAGAUCCUCAAAGUCGCUGGUUCGAGUCCAGCCGCGGUCACCA
rnacentral:tRNA from 1 species